rnacentral:ribozyme from 1 species
UGCAAUGUUUGCAACCGACUUCGUGCAGCUGGCAUGUGACAGCACAAGCAUGAUGGCUGCAAGGGUGUUUUGUGAAGC